rnacentral:lncRNA from 1 species
CUAACGGGGCCACGGUUUGCUCUGGUGGAGACCGCUCAACGGAGUAGAAAUUCGGAUCACGCAUACGACGCUGGAUGGCACGUACUCGUAGCAAGUACUAGUACUAGUACUGCUACAUAGCUACGCACUACUCUUCAGUUUGCAUUUUGUACUAUUAUGAGUACGUACAAUUAAUCCUUCUACUCCUGUUAGCGGGCGCACUGAAUGAAAAAAAAAAAAAAAAGGCCAUAUAGACUAAGGCUGGAAACUACUCUGUCGUAAAUUCGUGUUGGGUGGUGGUGUUGGGAGACAGGCUGCUUCUGGCAAGUGGUCGUCGUGAUGCUCUGUCCUGGCAACUUGGCGGUUAGUUGGCAUUUGGUUGGCAUUUGGACGGGCAGCCAAUGACUACCUGGUAAACACGAUCAGACAGAUCAACACGAUAUCCGAACCGGAGAUGCUUCCAAAAAUUCUCAGUCUUCCACGCGUUCCAUUUCAUUGCUUCUCUGGGCAAAUUUGCUGUUCUUACUGCAUACGACGCCAUCCGUACAGAGUCAAUUCUGACUAGUGGAUACGGACUGAUAAGCCAGCCGGAAUAACGUUUUGCCAAGAUGCCGAAGCAAAUCAUCUGCCUCCACUGAGUCGUCCACUCUGUCAGGACUUCCAUGAUUCCAUCUGUCGUCCUUAUCUUGCUUGUCUCCAUCAAGAGUGAUCUGCCUCUGUUAAGAGAUGACACUGCCCCGUAGAUAAAGCCAACAGUCUCCUCCAGAUGUAAUUACCAACUACAGAAUCUCACCCCAUUCAGAUACUAUCAUAAAACAUGACAGCAAUGAAUUGUCAAUUCUUUCUCCCUUGAAUGAGCUAAGCUCUUCCGUUGGUGCGGAAUGGCUCAGUAGCUUAGCCUCGGUCGUACACAGGGAAACGGCGAUCCCGAACCGAAAACAUGGCUGGCAGAUGGCUUAGAUUUUACGUCGCGUAGCCAACCAGCUCUUACUCCGUAUUAAUUAUUCGCCCCCUUCUGUGUAAUUCCCAGAAUCUCCAUGUUCUUUAUGCUCUUUUGUAUUCUGGCAGGUGGCAACUCAUUGGUUGAAUGUUUAUUCAUCCCCAGAAUACUCGUAACUUAGUAAGCACUCAGAGUUAGUUAGCUUACUCCGUAGAAAGAAGGAGAUCUGAAAAGGGACUCCGAUCUCGCCGGGCCGCCUUCCCCGACUUUUGGUUGCGCCAUUUUUUAUCUCUAAAGGCUAACUCGGCGAUGUGCCUUUACUAUGUACAGCCUUCUCCAUCAUGCAUAUGAUAUCAUAUACGGAAGAGACCGACGAAACAACACGAGACGACUGAAUCAUGUCGACUCGUCGGUUCGAACUAACAGUCAGCCUAGCUCUUAGUGGCGUGAUGCGAAUAAUUUUACUCCGUCGUACUAGUACGGAGUAGGGGAGUAGGGUAUGGGGUAAAAAGUCUACUGAGCACUGAUAAAGGGUGGAGGGCAUUGGACCACCACCUGAAGGGGGAACGAGCUUCAUCUUUAUCCACUGAAAACGCCGGAUCGCACUUAGUAAGCACCCCUCCAGCCAAUGGAGCUUCGUCAAUGACAUGAAUUGAAUUGCCAUUACUUUGCCCCGUGACUAAAAGAGAUAUUUCUUAAUAGUACGAAGCUCUGGUCCUGUACGAUGUACGUACUAACAGUACUACCGUAGUAAUGGGAACAUUGGCAAGCGCAAUACUAGCGGUAUUCAAUUAUCCUCUAACUCGUGGGUCUGAACGCCUCCGAUGCGACGCUAUUAGUCCCAAUCUAGAUACGUGGAGGGCGAUCAGGACUCAAUCUCAUCGCGCCACGGCCCAAGACCACAGAGUAAGUUAGGCGUAUUUUGCCCAAAGCAACACCGAUGCAUCGCAGAGGCUCAGAGAGCGUGUUUAAUAUUUCCUCCAUGAGGCCGAGCUGUUUACGUACAAGAUUCCACAUUUUGCCUGCUCUUGACCUCAUGAGAUCCAUCUUCUGGCUAGGAACCUGGGGUAAGACGAUUAAUCACGAGGACUAGCUUAACCAACUAUGGAGUCUACCGUCCGUUGGGGAAAGAGAUCCAGUGUGUCAAAGAAAGGAGAGUUCUACUACGUAUGGAGGAGAUGUACGGAGCACUCCGUAGUGGACUCCGUAAAAAGGAGACUAAUAACGGUCCCAUAAGAGUGCCGACCUGGUAAUAACAGAGAAAAUUCGGUCUAUGAGGGAUAGCCAUUCUUUAAACUAUACUACAUAGGCACCCACCUUCUUGUCGAUGGCUUCUUCCAGGAAACGAUGCGGGAGGAUCGUCAAUAAUCCGGGACGCGCUCAUCAAGUCUAUACCACAGCUCCGUCCAUGGGCAUGCCGUUCAUGACUCCUUUUGUGGAUAAUUUGGAGUCGGAACUUGGUAUAAGUCGAUGAUGCCCACAGUGGAGAUAUCAUAUUCCGCGGUUUGAGUUCUGAAAUAACCCGUGGUGAGGAUUUCGAUAUUGCCCUUUGACCUCCUGGCACUGAUGAACGUCAUCAAACCAACCCAGACAGACGGAGUUCUCCUUCCUAUUUGACAUUUAAGUUUCAGGUAUGGAGGCAGGAGCUUGACCCUGUGUUGUUGCAACCGAGGAACGUCAUCAACCCGGACAGCAGCAUGCUCUGCUCCUUCCUAUUUCAAAUGUCGGCAUUUGACUUUAGAGUUGAUGGCAUAUGUCCGUGGAAGCAGGUAGAUGAGGGAAGGGGUAUGAUCAUCUUUCCUUGGACCUGAUAGACGGCAAAGUCCAUGAGGCGACUCCAACGCAAUCCGGCGAUCAAUCAGUUAUCCUACCUAGAAGCAUAAAUAUCCAUAGAAAGAUGCAUCCGGCACCGGAUGCCCAUAGCUCAAAUCACAUCACACAAUAUCGCUCUGCCAGUCCCGCCCUACCGAUUCAUUUGAACGGCUACAUACUACGUGCAUAUGGUAUUCCUACAUAACGGCGGCGCAUACC